AUCUGUGUUAGUGAGCACUUCUCCUUUGCCGAGAUAAUCCAUCCACCUCACAGGUGUGGCAUAUCAAGAUGCUGAUUAGACAGCAUGAUUAUUGCACAGGUGUGCCUUAGGCUUGCCACAAUAAAAGGCCACUCUAAAAUGUGCAGUUUUAUGCCACACCUGUGAGGUGGAUGGAUUAUCUCGGCAAAGGUGAAGUGCUCAGUAACACAGAU